AGAGUUUGAUCCUGGCUCAGGACGAACGCUGGCGGCGUGCGUAGUACAUGCAAGUCGAGCGAGCUUGCCUAGAUGAUUUUGGUGCUUGCACUAAAUGAAACUAGAUACAAGCGAGCGGCGGACGGGUGAGUAACACGUGGGUAACCUGCCCAAGAGACUGGGAUAACACCUGGAAACAGAUGCUAAUACCGGAUAACAACACUAGACGCAUGUCUAGAGUUUGAAAGAUGGUUCUGCUAUCACUCUUGGAUGGACCUGCGGUGCAUUAGCUAGUUGGUAAGGUAACGGCUUACCAAGGCAAUGAUGCAUAGCCGAGUUGAGAGACUGAUCGGCCACAUUGGGACUGAGACACGGCCCAAACUCCUACGGGAGGCAGCAGUAGGGAAUCUUCCACAAUGGACGAAAGUCUGAUGGAGCAACGCCGCGUGAGUGAAGAAGGGUUUCGGCUCGUAAAGCUCUGUUGGUAGUGAAGAAAGAUAGAGGUAGUAACUGGCCUUUAUUUGACGGUAAUUACUUAGAAAGUCACGGCUAACUACGUGCCAGCAGCCGCGGUAAUACGUAGGUGGCAAGCGUUGUCCGGAUUUAUUGGGCGUAAAGCGAGUGCAGGCGGUUCAAUAAGUCUGAUGUGAAAGCCUUCGGCUCAACCGGAGAAUUGCAUCAGAAACUGUUGAACUUGAGUGCAGAAGAGGAGAGUGGAACUCCAUGUGUAGCGGCGGAAUGCGUAGAUAUAUGGAAGAACACCAGUGGCGAAGGCGGCUCUCUGGUCUGCAACUGACGCUGAGGCUCGAAAGCAUGGGUAGCGAACAGGAUUAGAUACCCUGGUAGUCCAUGCCGUAAACGAUGAGUGCUAAGUGUUGGGAGGUUUCCGCCUCUCAGUGCUGCAGCU
rnacentral:rRNA from 1 species